UACGGGGGGGGCAAGCGUUGUUCGGAAUUACUGGGCGUAAAGGGCUCGUAGGUGGCCAACUAAGUCAGACGUGAAAUCCCUCGGCUUAACCGGGGAACUGCAUCUGAUACUGGAUGGCUUGAGUUUGGGAGAGGGACGCGGAAUUCCAGGUGUAGCGGUGAAAUGCGUAGAUAUCGGGAGGAACACCAGUGGCGAAGGCGACUACCUGGCCCAUUCUUGACGCUGAGGCGCGAAAGCUAGGGGAGCGAACGGG
rnacentral:rRNA from 1 species